UACGGAGGGGGCAAGUGUUACUCGUCAUGACUGGGCGUAAAGGGUGCGUAGACUGGUCUUUAAGUUAAAAGUGAAAUGUUAGUGCUAAACACUAACAAGUCUUUUAAUACUGUAGAUCUAGAGUGCGAGAGAGGAAAAUGGUAUUCUUAUUGUAGAGGUGAAAUUCUGAGAUAGUAAGAGGACGAUCGAAGGCGAAGGCAAUUUUCUGGUUCGUAACUGACGUUGAGGCACGAAAGCAUGGGGAGCAAACAGG
rnacentral:rRNA from 1 species